rnacentral:rRNA from 1 species
UACAGAGGUCCCAAGCGUUGUUCGGAUUCACUGGGCGUAAAGGGUGCGUAGGUGGCCGCGAAAGUUCGGUGUGAAAGCUCCAAGCUUAACUUGGAAACGUCACCGAAAACUUCGUGGCUCGAGGAUUGAAGGGGAGACUGGAAUUCUCGGUGUAGCAGUGAAAUGCGUAGAUAUCGAGAGGAACACCGGUGGCGAAGGCGAGUCUCUGGGCAAAUCCUGACACUGAGGCACGAAAGCUGGGGGAGCAAACAGG